CUGGUGUAGCGGUGGAAUGCGCAGAUAUCAGGAGGAACACCGGUGGCGAAGGCGGGUCUCUGGGCAGUAACUGACGCUGAGGAGCGAAAGCGUGGGGAGCGAACAGGAUUAGAUACCCUGGUAGUCCACGCCGUAAACGGUGGGUACUAGGUGUGGGUUUCCUUCCUUGGGAUCCGUGCCGUAGCUAACGCAUUAAGUACCCCGCCUGGGGAGUACGGCCGCAAGGCUAAAACUCAAAGAAAUUGACGGGGGCCCGCACAAGCGGCGGAGCAUGUGGAUUAAUUCGAUGCAACGCGAAGAACCUUACCUGGGUUUGACAUGCACAGGACGCCGGCAGAGAUGUCGGUUCCCUUGUGGCCUGUGUGCAGGUGGUGCAUGGCUGUCGUCAGCUCGUGUCGUGAGAUGUUGGGUUAAGUCCCGCAACGAGCGCAACCCUUGUCUCAUGUUGCCAGCGGGUAAUGCCGGGGACUCGUGAGAGACUGCCGGGGUCAACUCGGAGGAAGGUGGGGAUGACGUCAAGUCAUCAUGCCCCUUAUGUCCAGGGCUUCACACAUGCUACAAUGGCCGGUACAAAGGGCUGCGAUGCCGUGAGGUGGAGCGAAUCCUUUCAAAGCCGGUCUCAGUUCGGAUCGGGGUCUGCAACUCGACCCCGUGAAGUCGGAGUCGCUAGUAAUCGCAGAUCAG
rnacentral:rRNA from 1 species